rnacentral:rRNA from 1 species
UACGUAGGGUGCAAGCGUUGUCCGGAAUUAUUGGGCGUAAAGAGCUCGUAGGCGGUCUGUCGCGUCUGCUGUGAAAACUCAGGGCUUAACCCUGAGCUUGCAGUGGGUACGGGCAGACUAGAGUGCGGCAGGGGAGACUGGAAUUCCUGGUGUAGCGGUGAAAUGCGCAGAUAUCUGGAGGAACACCGGUGGCGAAGGCGGCAUCCUGGACCGACAUUGACGCUGAGGCGCGAAAGCCAGGGGAGCAAACGGG